rnacentral:lncRNA from 1 species
CAGAACCAGGCCGCUGAGAGUUGCCUGAAGUCCCUCUGAGACUGGUUGGCCAUUGCUAUGGCCAGAGACAUUUUUUUGCCAGUUUCCAGUAAGGUCUAUGAAUUGGCCUACAGACGUCAGGAAAGGAGAGGGAAGAGAGGAGAGAAGAGGAGAGCAGGGAAGAGAGGGGAGACGAAGGGAGGGGAAGAGAAGGGGGGAGGGGAGGGGAGGGAAGGAGAGGAAAAGAGGAGGGGGCAGGAGGAGGAAAGGAGAGGAGAAGGAGAGGGGAGGAGGAGGGAAACAGAAGAGAGGAGAGGAGGGCAGGGGAGGACGAGACAAGACUAGCAGAAGUGAGAGCCUGCAGAGACCUCGGUGCCAGCUGGGGCGCUGCUGCCGCGCGAGGCCGGUCCUGCGCAGAGAUGCCCCCGGGGGCGCGGGCGCCGGCUGAGGAGUCGGAGCGGCAGCUCUGGCCCCGAUUCCCUGGGCAGAAUUCCUGCGGGCUUGAAAGACGCAAGGAGAGGAAGGCUCCAUCUGUCAGAAAUGCCUCCGCAUGGAAAAGUGCUCAAGACACAGUCCUAGCCCCAGCACUUGACUGUGCCUUGCAUACAGCGGACACUCAUAAACACUUGAUGGAUGACAAUGCGUUGAUGCAAGCAAGGCUGAAUCUCGGACAUGAUGAGAGUGUGGGUGCUAGAAGACAUGAACUCGCGUAUGUGGCUCAGGCCGUAUUUCUGCUGGCCAGCGCCGGCCAGUCCGCUGCGGGAGUGCUCAGGAAGUCAAGGUGUUACCUCUAGAUGUUGUUUAAUCAGUUAAAAGAGUAACUUCUCCCCCGUAUUUACUGACUAGGACUCGAGUCCUGGGUUUGCCUAUAACUCACUGAGGGUUCAGGCCUGAGUCACCUUCUCCAGGGACCCUGGUUCUCUUGUGUGACAAAGUAGCGACUGAAUUAGACUGUGUCAGAGGAUCCUUUCAGCUCCAACACUAUGCGAUUCUGCCAUUAAUUGCCUAUUCAGGGUAAGGACAGCAGAGAAAUCUUCUUCUGGGACUGAUAUAUUUUAUAACCCCUGUUCCCUUUUCCUUAUCUUGGCCUUCAAAUGUCCCCUUUAUGUAAACACAGUCAAAGAUAAAAUUUAACAAAACCUCUGUUUUCCUGGACUCAAUGUAGCCAAAGCUGCUGCAAAUAAUAAUUUGUUAAUCAGACUCAAAGAGGUGGUU